CAGUCGGUAGAGCAUCAGACUUUUAAUC
rnacentral:piRNA from 3 species